CAGUCGCCGCGGGAAUACGUAGGUGGCAAGCGUUGUCCGGAAUUAUUGGGCGUAAAGGGCUCGCAGGCGGUUUCUUAAGCCUGAUGUGAAAGCCCCCGGCUCAACCGGGGAGGGUCAUUGGAAACUGGGAAACUUGAGUGCAGAAGAGGAGAGUGGAAUUCCACGUGUAGCGGUGAAAUGCGUAGAGAUGUGGAGGAACACCAGUGGCGAAGGCGACUCUCUGGUCUGUAACUGACGCUGAGGAGCGAAAGCGUGGGGAGCGAACAGGAUUAGAUACCCGCGUAGUCCCUGUCUCUUAUAC
rnacentral:rRNA from 1 species